CCACCUUUUCUUGAAGCUCGACAACUCAGUGGUGACGAUCUAAGCCUUCUUCUGUAGUCUUUGUCACUCUUGCUUCUUUGAGUUCGAAUACUCCUGAGACCACUCCUUUACCUAAUAUUAGUUCUUGUUGUCUCCAUACCGCGAGUCUAGUUCCCCUGCGAGCUACUUCGAGUACACGGAAAACACUGAUUUUUCACACCUCUUCAGUCUGCAGGCUCGUUUGCACGUUUCGUUUGGUUAGGGAUACUGUUAUGUCUC
rnacentral:rRNA from 1 species